rnacentral:rRNA from 1 species
GACGCGAUGGAUGGGUCUGCCUUAGGGUUUGUACCUAUCUGUUGCGUCUUUCCUUUUGGAAAACUUGGGUGCUCUUUACUGAGUGCUCAAGCGAUCCAAAACUUUUACUUUGAAAAAAUUAGAGUGUUCAAAGCAGGCUUACGCUUGAAUACAUUAGCAUGGAAUAAUAGAAUAGGACUUUGGUUCUAUUUUGUUGGUUUCUAGGACCGAAGUA